UACGUAGGGUGCAGGCGUUAAUCGGAAUUACUGGGCGUAAAGCGUGCGCAGGCGGUCUUUUAAGUCAGAUGUGAAAUCCCCGGGCUUAACCUGGGAACUGCGUUUGAAACUGAAAGGCUAGAGUGUGGCAGAGGGGGGUGGAAUUCCACGUGUAGCAGUGAAAUGCGUAGAGAUGUGGAGGAACACCGAUGGCGAAGGCAGCCCCCUGGGCUAACACUGACGCCUCAUGCACGAAAGCGUGGGGAGCAAACAGG
rnacentral:rRNA from 1 species